rnacentral:pre_miRNA from 1 species
UGGAAUGUAGUUGAGGUUAGUAAAAGCACUAUACUUGUUACAAACCUUGCCACGUUCCGAC